rnacentral:rRNA from 1 species
AUGCCGCGUGCGGGAAGAAGGCCUUCGGGUUGUAAACCGCUUUUGUCAGGGAAGAAACGGCUUUCUCUAAUACAGAGAGCUAAUGACGGUACCUGAAGAAUAAGCACCGGCUAACUACGUGCCAGCAGCCGCGGUAAUACGUAGGGUGCAAGCGUUAAUCGGAAUUACUGGGCGUAAAGCGUGCGCAGGCGGUUAUGCAAGACAGAUGUGAAAUCCCCGGGCUCAACCUGGGAACUGCAUUUGUGACUGCAUGGCUAGAGUACGGUAGAGGGGGAUGGAAUUCCGCGUGUAGCAGUGAAAUGCGUAGAUAUGCGGAGGAACACCGAUGGCGAAGGCAAUCCCCUGGACCUGUACUGACGCUCAUGCACGAAAGCGUGGGGAGCAAACAGGAUUAGAUACCCUGGUAGUCCACGCCCUAAACGAUGUCAACUGGUUGUUGGGAGGGUUUCUUCUCAGUAACGAAGCUA